AGCACAAAUGAAACUGUGUUUCAAGAAUCAGGUGCUCCUACAUCAUUCAAGGAAAUUCGUCGUAGAGGUCUUUCUCUUUACCAGAUUUCGUAGCUGAAGUUUAUGAAGUAAUCAAACCGGUGUUAACUUCUUAUAUAAAGG